AGGAACGUAUACGAAAGAAGAGACGUGUAUGCGAAAGAAGAAACGUCUUCUGUUGGACACGUGUGUUGGUAGGAGAGAAAAAACACGUUGAGAGGAAAAAAAGGUCGAAGUUGACGAAGAAACUCGGUGGUCUCCUCCAUGAAAAAUCUCCUCGGUGCUCUCCUCCUCGACGAAGAAUCUCGGCGGUGGCUCUCCUCGGCGAGAAAUCUGGGUUGGCUCUCGUUGACGAAGAUUCUCGGUUGCUCUCCUCUCCUCAACUCAGAAAAUCGUCGGUGAGUCUCAUCGAUGAAGACAAUCGUCGGUUUCUGCUCCUUCUUAAUCGAAAGAGGCAACAAGGAUGGAUUGACCAGGCUUUGAGCUUGGAAGUGACCAAGCUGCAUUCUCUUCACAGCAAACAAACGAACAGAAGCAGCUAUCUAUGCAUGGAAGAGAGGAUUACAGAACAAGCAAGCAGUAUGUCACCGACAGACAUAACAAACCUGUGAGGAGAAGUGUAGGCGAAGUCGACCCAGCCAUGUUCUUCGCCACGCCAUUUGAGGAUGCGACCGUCGGUGACACCGACAUAAGGGCCUUCACCUUGUGAAUCAAACUCUAAGCUCUCUGGUCCAACGCCGGGGAGAGGAAUGGUCUUAGCCACUUGAAGAACGUGUUUCGUACCCUCUAAACGGUCCGGCUCGAUGAUAGUUGACCAGAAUAAAUAGCAAACGACGGCUAAGAUAACCGGAGCGGCCGCGACAGGCGUCAGAACUCUCCGACUGAUUGGCAUUAUCUCUCUCUCUCUCUCUCUCUCUCUCUCUCUCUCUCUCUCUCUCUCUCUCUCUCUCUCUGGCUAAUAA